AUGACCAGACAAGGCACUGGAAGUACCACAGUCAGUUCAUCAGCUGGCUCUUCCAGGAACACUUCAGGAAUUAGGAUGGAAGCAUAUUACUUCCUUUCCCACAGGAUAACUGCAGUGAAUACAAUAACCCUUGUUCGAAGAGAUGCUGCCUUGCACACUGCCUCACGCACUCCGUCAAACCAACAUCAUUUGCUCCCUUUCAGCAACAGCUGUGCAAAAGACCAUUCUAUAAGCUUAAACUUUUUUUUCUCUCUUUCUUUCUUCAGUUUGCAAGAACCUGACAUAAAAACUUGCAAGCCUCCACUUCAGAAACAUGAAAGCAAUGGCCUAUUCCAAGAACAGAGCAGGGAAAAAACAAAAGGACAACAAACUCCUGAGCAAGGAUCUGCCCCUCCAUUCACAAAAAUGUCCAUACAGACAACGUGAUAAACCAAUAAUGUUUUGCCCAGAACCUCUGCAGUUGUACAGCUGAUUGCCAACUGCUCUCUGCCACCUAGAAGCAAGCCCAGACCCUCUGUCCAUCCCCUCCCUGAAGGUCUGUGUUCAGCUGGUCACUCAAACAACCUCGCCAUUCCUAGGCAAUCCGGGCUAACCCAGGCUAAUCGCUGCCGCUCGGUACAGCUGACUCUUAUCCCUUCUCCAGCCUUACUUAGGAAAUUGCAGUGGGAUUGAUUAUUUGGGAUGGGAUUUCAACCCCUCACACUCCUUGCAGGGUCACAUGUGGUUUAUUUAUAUCUACCUCAGUCAUCCUAGGGACAAGUGGAAAUUUGUCAGCCACCAUCCUGCGGCAUUCGGAAAAAGUAAGAGCAGAGUCAAAUGUAAAAGAGAUCUUUAGGUUUCUUUCUGUCCUGGACCUAAAUCUGGCUGGUUCGGCAUGGUUAUGGGCAAAACCAAUCUUGUCACCUGCACUAGUACAUAGAAUGCAAACAGAAAGUGGGGAUGGAUAACUGAGAGCAUUAUUAAUUAGCUCCGAAAUACACAAGUAGGAAAGAAGGAUCCAGCAGGCAAAAUGCAGGGAGAAGGGAAAGCAGCUACUUAUAAAUACCAAGGGUAUAUAAAAGGAACAGAUAACAACUGGGGGAGGAAAGAGGAAGGGAACUGAAAACUAUGGAUAAAAUGAGAAACUAAGAGUUGCAGAAAACUGAUAUGAGAGGUAAAAGGAUGUAAGGGUCAGCAGAACUAAUGGCAAUAAAAUUUAUUUGCAGUAUGUUAAAAACA
rnacentral:lncRNA from 1 species